GCCAAGGUGGCGAAAUGGUAUACGCGCACGCUUUAGGAGCGUGUCCCUUACGGGAUGGAGGUUCAAGUCCUCUCCUUGGCA
rnacentral:tRNA from 1 species